UAACGCUGAGGUGUGAUGACGAGGCACUACGGUGCUGAAGUGACAAAUGCCCUGCUUCCAGGAAAAGCCUCUAAGCAUCAGGUAACAUCAAAUCGUACCCCAAACCGACACAGGUGGUCAGGUAGAGAAUACCAAGGCGCUUGAGAGAACUCGGGUGAAGGAACUAGGCAAAAUGGUGCCGUAACUUCGGGAGAAGGCACGCUGAUGGUAGGUGAAGCGACUUGCUCGUGGAGCUGAAAUCAGUCGAAGAUACCAGCUGGCUGCAACUGUUUAUUAAAAACACAGCACUGUGCAAACACGAAAGUGGACGUAUACGGUGUGACGCCUGCCCGGUGCCGGAAGGUUAAUUGAUGGGGUUAUCCGUAAGGAGAAGCUCUUGAUCGAAGCCCCGGUAAACGGCGGCCGUAACUAUAACGGUCCUAAGGUAGCGAAAUUCCUUGUCGGGUAAGUUCCGACCUGCACGAAUGGCGUAAUGAUGGCCAGGCUGUCUCCACCCGAGACUCAGUGAAAUUGAACUCGCUGUGAAGAUGCAGUGUACCCGCGGCAAGACGGAAAGACCCCGUGAACCUUUACUAUAGCUUGACACUGAACACUGGUCCUUGAUGUGUAGGAUAGGUGGGAGGCUUUGAAGUGUGGACGCCAGUCUGCAUGGAGCCAUCCUUGAAAUACCACCCUUUAAUGGCUGGUGUUCUAACGUGGGCCCCUAAUCGGGGUUGCGGACAGUGUCUGGUGGGUAGUUUGACUGGGGCGGUCUCCUCCUAAAGAGUAACGGAGGAGCACGAAGGUCAGCUAAUCCUGGUCGGACAUCAGGAGGUUAGUGCAAUGGCAUAAGCUGGCUUGACUGCGAGCGUGACGGCGCGAGCAGGUGCGAAAGCAGGUCAUAGUGAUCCGGUGGUUCUGAAUGGAAGGGCCAUCGCUCAACGGAUAAAAGGUACUCCGGGGAUAACAGGCUGAUACCGCCCAAGAGUUCAUAUCGACGGCGGUGUUUGGCACCUCGAUGUCGGCUCAUCACAUCCUGGGGCUGAAGUAGGUCCCAAGGGUAUGGCUGUUCGCCAUUUAAAGUGGUACGCGAGCUGGGUUUAGAACGUCGUGAGACAGUUCGGUCCCUAUCUGCCGUGGGCGCUGGAGAAUUGAGGGGGGCUGCUCCUAGUACGAGAGGACCGGAGUGGACGCAUCACUGGUGUUCGGGUUGUCAUGCCAAUGGCAUUGCCCGGUAGCUAAAUGCGGAAGAGAUAAGUGCUGAAAGCAUCUAAGCACGAAACUUGCCCCGAGAUGAGUUCUCCCUGAC
rnacentral:rRNA from 1 species